ACGGAAGGCAGCAGUGGGGAAUAUUGGGCAAUGGGCGCAAGCCUGACCCAGCAACGCCGCGUGAAGGAAGAAGGCUUUCGGGUUGUAAACUUCUUUUAAGGGGGAAGAGUAGAAGACGGUACCCCUCGAAUAAGCCACGGCUAACUACGUGCCAGCAGCCGCGGUAAUACGUAGGUGGCAAGCGUUGUCCGGAUUUACUGGGUGUAAAGGGCGUGUAGCCGGGGAGGCAAGUCAGAUGUGAAAUCUAUGGGCUCAACCCAUAAACUGCAUUUGAAACUGUAUCUCUUGAGUGCUGGAGGGGCAAUCGGAAUUCCUUGUGUAGCGGUGAAAUGCGUAGAUAUAAGGAGGAACACCAGUGGCGAAGGCGGAUUGCUGGACAGUAACUGACGGUGAGGCGCGAAAGUGUGGGGAGCAAACAGGAUUAGAUACCCUGGUA
rnacentral:rRNA from 1 species